rnacentral:rRNA from 1 species
GGUUAAGCGACUAAGCGUACACGGUGGAUGCCCAGGCAGUCAGAGGCGAUGAAGGACGUGCUAAUCUGCGUAAAGCGACGGUAAGGUGAUAUGAACCGCUACAGCCGUCGAUGUCCGAAUGGGGAAACCCGGUGCACUCUGUGCAUCAUUGCAGCAUGAAUACAUAGUGCUGCAAGGCGAACCGGGGGAACUGAAACAUCUAAGUACCCCGAGGAAAAGAAAUCAACCGAGAUUCCCCCAGUAGCGGCGAGCGAACGGGGAGCAGCCCAGAGCCUGAAUCAGUUUGUGUGUUAGUGGAAGCGUCUGGAAAGUCGCAGGGUACAGGGUGAUACUCCCGUACACAAAAACACACAUGCUGUGAGCUCGAUGAGUAAGGCGGGACACGUGGUAUCCUGUCUGAAUAUGGGGGGACCAUCCUCCAAGGCUAAAUACUCCUGACUGACCGAUAGUGAACCAGUACCGUGAGGGAAAGGCGAAAAGAACCCCGGCGAGGGGAGUGAAACAGAACCUGAAACCGUGUACGUACAAGCAGUGGGAGCCUCUUUUAUGGGGUGACUGCGUACCUUUUGUAUAAUGGGUCAGCGACUUAUAUUCUGUAGCAAGGUUAACCGUAUAGGGGAGCCGCAGGGAAACCGAGUCUUAACUGGGCGUUAAGUUGCAGGGUAUAGACCCGAAACCCGGUGAUCUAGCCAUGGGCAGGUUGAAGGUUGGGUAACACUAACUGGAGGACCGAACCGACUAAUGUUGAAAAAUUAGCGGAUGACCUGUGGCUGGGGGUGAAAGGCCAAUCAAACCGGGAGAUAGCUGGUUCUCCCCGAAAGCUAUUUAGGUAGCGCCUCGUGAACUCAUCUCCGGGGGUAGAGCACUGUUUCGGCUAGGGGGCCAUCCCGGCUUACCAACCCGAUGCAAACUGCGAAUACCGGAGAAUGUUAUCACGGGAGACACACGGCGGGUGCUAACGUCCGUCGUGAAGAGGGAAACAACCCAGACCGCCAGCUAAGGUCCCAAAGUCAUGGUUAAGUGGGAAACGAUGUGGGAAGGCACAGACAGCCAGGAUGUUGGCUUAGAAGCAGCCAUCAUUUAAAGAAAGCGUAAUAGCUCACUGGUCGAGUCGGCCUGCGCGGAAGAUGUAACGGGGCUAAACCAUGCACCGAAGCUGCGGCAGCGAC